GUCAUAGAUUAGUAUAAUACCAGUGUAUUUCCAUAUAACCUUAAUAAUUUGGCAUAUCAAAUAGUAUGAAAUAUCUUUAUAGAUAUCUUAUAACUUAUCUGAUUUGUAUAAUAUUCUUCCCGGCCAGUAGGUGAUGAACACCGGGCCAGAAAGACUUGGCUCAUGGGCAAGUAGUGAAGUUAGAUCUAAGUUUUCUGAAUUUAUAAUGUGUAUCAACGUAGACUUAAAUUAGGUUAACUUAUUGUAUUUUUUAUUAUAUCUGUAUGUAUGCCUACUCUGUGAACGUGAAAAUAGAUUUUAUACAUAUAUUAUUGUAAUUAAUUAAAGAAUGAUGACAACAGUGAAGAAGUACUCUGAAAACAGCUGAUCAUCCCUCACUGCUUGUUGGUUAUAAUUCGAAAAAAAAAAUAUAUUAUACUGUUAUUUUUAUUUUAAAAAGCUA